GAUGAACGCUAGCGAUAGGCUUAACACAUGCAAGUCGAGGGGCAGCAUGGUCUUAGCUUGCUAAGACUGAUGGCGACCGGCGCACGGGUGCGUAACGCGUAUGCAACUUGCCUCACAGAGGGGGAUAACCCGUCGAAAGACGGACUAAUACCGCGUACACUUGGGAUAGGGCAUCCUGACCCAAGGAAAUGAAAUUCGCUGUGAGAUAGGCAUGCGUCCCAUUAGCUAGUUGGUGAGGUAACGGCUCACCAAGGCGACGAUGGGUAGGGGAACUGAGAGGUUGAACCCCCACACUGGUACUGAGACACGGACCAGACUCCUACGGGAGGCAGCAGUGAGGAAUAUUGGUCAAUGGGCGAGAGCCUGAACCAGCCAAGUCGCGUGAAGGAUGACUGUCUUAUGGAUUGUAAACUUCUUUUAUACGGGAAUAACAAGAGUCACGUGUGGCUCCCUGCAUGUACCGUAUGAAUAAGCAUCGGCUAACUCCG
rnacentral:rRNA from 1 species